rnacentral:rRNA from 1 species
GAGUUUGAUCCUGGCUCAGGACGAACGCUAGCGGCGUGCUUAACACAUGCAAGUCGAGCGGUAAGGCCCUUCGGGGUACACGAGCGGCGAACGGGUGAGUAACACGUGGGUGAUCUGCCUUGCACUUCGGGAUAAGCCUGGGAAACUGGGUCUAAUACCGGAUAUGACCACUGAUCGCAUGGUUAGUGGUGGAAAGAUUUAUCGGUGCGAGAUGGGCCCGCGGCCUAUCAGCUUGUUGGUGAGGUAACGGCUCACCAAGGCGACGACGGGUAGCCGACCUGAGAGGGUGACCGGCCACACUGGGACUGAGACACGGCCCAGACUCCUACGGGAGGCAGCAGUGGGGAAUAUUGCACAAUGGGCGAAAGCCUGAUGCAGCGACGCCGCGUGCGGGAUGACGGCCUUCGGGUUGUAAACCGCUUUUGACAGGGACGAAGCGCAAGUGACUGUACCUGUAGAAUAAGGACCGGCC